rnacentral:rRNA from 1 species
GACGAACGCUGGCGGCGUGCUUAACACAUGCAAGUCGAACGGAAAGGCCCUGCUUUUGUGGGGUGCUCGAGUGGCGAACGGGUGAGUAACACGUGAGUAACCUGCCCUUGACUUUGGGAUAACUUCAUGAAACUGGGUCUAAUACCCGAUAGGAGCUCCUGCUGCGUGGUGGUGUUGGGAAAGUUUCGGCGGUUGGGGAUGGACUCGCGGCUUAUCAGCUUGUUGGUGGGGUAGUGGCUUACCAAGGCUUUGACGGGUAGCCGGCCUGAGAGGGUGACCGGCCACAUUGGGACUGAGAUACGGCCCAGACUCCUACGGGAGGCAGCAGUGGGGAAUAUUGCACAAUGGGCGGAAGCCUGAUGCAGCAACGCCGCGUGCGGGAUGACGGCCUUCGGGUUGUAAACCGCUUUCGCCUGUGGCGAAGCGUGAGUGACGGUAAUGGGUAAAGAAGCACCGGCUAACUACGUG